UACAGAGGGUGCGAGCGUUAAUCGGAAUUACUGGGCGUAAAGCGUGCGUAGACGGUUAUUUAAGUCGGGUGUGAAAGCCCCGGGCUCAACCUGGGAAUUGCAUUCGAGACUGAAUAGCUAGGGUACGGUAGAGGGAAGCGGAAUUCCCGGUGUAGUGGUGAAAUGCGUAGAUAUCGGGAGGAACACCAGUGGCGAAGGCGGCUUCUGGUCUGCUCUUGACGCUGAGGCGCGAAAGCUAGGGUAGCAAACGGG
rnacentral:rRNA from 1 species